rnacentral:rRNA from 1 species
GCUCGAAAGAGAACCGGCGCACAGGUGCUGCAUGGCUGUCGUCAGCUCGUGUCGUGAGAUGUUGGGUUAAGUCCCGCAACGAGCGCAACCCUUGUCCUUAGUUGCUACGCAAGAGCACUCUAAGGAGACUGCCGGUGACAAACCGGAGGAAGGUGGGGAUGACGUCAAGUCCUCAUGGCCCUUAUGGGUAGGGCUUCACACGUCAUACAAUGGUCGGAACAGAGGGUUGCCAACCCGCGAGGGGGAGCUAAUCCCAGAAAACCGAUCGUAGUCCGGAUUGCACUCUGCAACUCGAGUGCAUGAAGCUGGAAUCGCUAGUAAUCGCGGAUCAGCAUGCCGCGGUGAAUACG